UGCUGUGUGAUUAAAUUUCUCUGGAAUAUAUUGAGAUUUGCUUGAUGAACAAAAUAAGUCGGGUUAAUUUUUGUAAAUGUACCUCACAUGCUUAAAACUAGCGUAGCUCCAACAUUUGUUCCUGAGAUACAGGAUGAUGGACUAUGGCUGUAGGGAUGUGAUGGAGGUGCUUUACCAUUGGGUCCUUCCGAAUCCUUCUGAUGUUUUGUUGCUUAGAAUAUGAAUGGCUGAGAGGGGGCUGUAGAGCCUCCCAAUCUGCUUGUGUGUAAGGUUCUUCCUGCCAUCCUGCCAUCAUUUGUUUCUUAUAUUUUGCAGCCAAGACUGACCAUGAGAAACCCUGGAAGCUCAGGAAGGAAGGAGCCACCCAGGAGCAGGGACAGGGACCUGGCGGGGAAGACCAGAAAUCAGGUGCCCAACAUCCCCCAUUCCCCUCCCUCCCCUUUCUUCCCAUCCCCCUCCCCAAGUCAGAUCCUGCCCCAUCCCCAUCCCCUUCCCUCCCUCAGCCCUAAGCCACCCCCACCUCUGUCCUGGCCGCCUCAGGGCACCCUGAGAGGACCAGGACAUGCGGGUGCCGUGGCUGCUCUUUUGGCUCCUCCUGCUGGGAUUUCCCAGCCAUCAAUCCACCCCUGUGAGUAGACGCUGGGCCCUCGGGGUUUCUUCCUUCUUAUUGGGCUGUGUCACGUGGCAUAUUACACAGUGCAGGCCUGUAAUUUAGCGCUUUGAGGGGUUAAGGUGGGCAGAUCACCUGAGUCCAGGAGUUCAAGCCCGGGCAUCAUAGCCAAACCCCUUCUCUACAAAAGAUUCCAAAAAUGACUAGUCGGAUGCCUACUGCACUCUUGUCUCAAACAAAACCAAAACAAAGUGAAAUGUCAUUUGAGUUUUGUGUCAUCUGGUUUGAUGACUUUUAGGAACUUCUGUGUCAUUCGUGUUUUCUGCUCUUGGGGGCUGCCUCUAGAGGGUCUGUGUCCAGUCAGUGUGAUGGGAGCUGAGAAGCCCAUCAGAUGGAGAGGAAAGGGCUGCACCUGCUGGGAGGUUUGCAAUGCGGGAGUCACUGGGAGUGAUGUGACCAGGAUGUGAGUGAGGACUGUCCUUGGUUUUGUGAAAUGUGUUUGGUGCAGAUCAUUGAUUGACCCAAAG
rnacentral:lncRNA from 13 species